rnacentral:misc_RNA from 1 species
GAUUUUGAGUAUUGGUGGUAGAUGAAGAGGCACGAGAAGAACCCGGAAUUGGGCCUUUGAGAGGAAAAUACCUGUUCUUCUCCGCAUCAUAAUAAAAACCAACCCGGAAGUUCUUUGGGCAUGAUAUUUGCCAAACAACAAAUGAAAAACUCUGGUGAUAUUUGUUUCGUCCUCCCUAGUGAGAAAGCCCAGACCACGAAAGAAGAG